AUACUUACUUGGUGCCGGGCUCUCCGAUGAUCAAGAAAUCGGGGUCCCCGUGAGUAGGCUUCUUCAUAGCACUACGGGGGGCUGAAGCACGCCCCUGCUCCAAACGGGUAGGAGGGGCAUGUUAUUUUUGGUAGUUGGGAUCGGCGCAUGCGCCAGCCCCGA